GGGUGUAAUUCAAUGGCAGAAUUCCAGCCUUCCAAGCUGGUAGCGUGGGUUCGAUUCCCACCACCC
rnacentral:tRNA from 1 species